rnacentral:rRNA from 1 species
UACGUAGGGCGCAAGCGUUUAUCCGGAAUUAUUGGGCGUAAAGAGCUCGUAGGCGGCUUGUCACGUCGGGUGUGAAAGCCCGGGGCUUAACCCCGGGUCUGCAGUCGAUACGGGCAGGCUAGAGUUCGGUAGGGGAGAUCGGAAUUCCUGGUGUAGCGGUGAAAUGCGCAGAUAUCAGGAGGAACACCGGUGGCGAAGGCGGGUCUCUGGGCCGAUACUGACGCUGAGGAGCGAAAGCGUGGGGAGCGAACAGG